rnacentral:rRNA from 1 species
CCCUUAGAUGUUCUGGGCUGCACACGUGCUACACUGGCAGGUUCAGCGAGCUUCAUGCCCCGAUCUGAAAGGAAUGGGAAAUCUUUUCAAAACCUGCCGUGCUUGGGAUAGAUGUUUGCAAUUAUUCAUCUUCAACGAGGAUUGCCUUGUAAGCGCACGUCAUCAGCGUGCAUUGAAUACGACCCUGUAUUCUGUACACACCGCCCGUCGCUCCUACCGAUUGAAGUUUUCGGUGAGUUGACAGGAGGAUUUUUUUGAAACUGGUUCGCCAGUGGAUUUUAGAUCCAAAUGCCAACGAAUCGAUGGCUUUAGAGGAAGGAGAAGUCGUAACA